rnacentral:rRNA from 1 species
AUUGAACGCUGGCGGCAGGCCUAACACAUGCAAGUCGAGCGGUAGCACAGGAGAGCUUGCUCUCUGGGUGACGAGCGGCGGACGGGUGAGUAAUGUCUGGGAAACUGCCUGAUGGAGGGGGAUAACUACUGGAAACGGUAGCUAAUACCGCAUAAUGUCGCAAGACCAAAGAGGGGGACCUUCGGGCCUCUUGCCAUCAG